rnacentral:rRNA from 1 species
UACGUAGGGUGCAAGCGUUAAUCGGAAUUACUGGGCGUAAAGCGUGCGCAGGCGGUUUUGUAAGUCUGACGUGAAAUCCCCCGGGCUUAACCUGGGAAUUGCGUUGGAGACUGCAAGGCUGGAGUCUGGCAGAGGGGGGUAGAAUUCCACGUGUAGCAGUGAAAUGCGUAGAGAUGUGGAGGAACACCGAUGGCGAAGGCAGCCCCCUGGGUCAAGACUGACGCUCAUGCACGAAAGCGUGGGGAGCAAACGAGGAUAGAGU